GAGGGUGUAGCUCAAGUGGUAGAGCGCAUGCUUAACAUGCACAAGGUCCUGGGUUCAAUCCCCAGUACCUCCU
rnacentral:tRNA from 1 species